rnacentral:rRNA from 1 species
GGAUUAGAUACCCUGGUAGUCCAUGCCGUAAACGGUGGGCGCUAGGUGUGAGGGUCUUUCUACGACUUUCGUGCCGUAGCUAACGCAUUAAGCGCCCCGCCUGGGGAGUACGGCCGCAAGGCUAAAACUCAAAGGAAUUGACGGGGGCCCGCACAAGCGGCGGAGCAUGUGGAUUAAUUCGAUGCAACGCGAAGAACCUUACCUGGGCUUGACAUACACCAGAUCGCUGCAGAGAUGUAGUUUCCCUUUGUGGUUGGUGUACAGGUGGUGCAUGGUUGUCGUCAGCUCGUGCCG